GACGGAAGGUGCAAGCGUUGCUCGGAAUCACUGGGCGUAAAGGGUGCGUAGGCGGCCGCGCAAGUCUGGCGUGAAAGCCCCGGGCUCAGCCCGGGAAGGGCGCUCGAAACGGCGCGGCUCGAGUGCCGGAGGGGAGAGUGGAAUUCCUGGUGUAGCGGUGAAAUGCGUAGAGAUCAGGAAGAACACCGGUGGCGAAGGCGCUCUGCUAGGCCGCAACUGACACUGAGGGACGAAAGCUAGGGGAGCGAAUGGG
rnacentral:rRNA from 1 species